GAGAAGGAGGCGGAAGCGGAGACCUCUCCAGUCCGUCCUGGAGCCAGUAGGGAAGCGGCUGUCGUGGCAAAGCCCAGCGGAAGAAAGGCCAGAGGGACACCAGGUCCGGGCUGCUCCCGGGCUGCUGAGUGCUGUCUCCGUGGCCGACUGACCGUGUCAUCAUUCAGCUGACCUGCCCUGCACCCUCCAGCCCCGGAAACCAUGGGCUCACGGACCCUGGCUCAGCGUGCUGCAGUCCCUUGAAGACACCGGGCUUGCAUUCCAGAGACGAGGAGCCACCGAGGGACAGCAGCCAGGCCCUGAGAUGAACAUCGCAGGGAGACAGCCCAGGUUUAUCUUACGGAGUUUUGGGACCGGGCUCCGGGCUUCCGUGUGUGGCAAACACCCGGAGGAUGUGCUGGAAGCCCGGGGUGCCUGCCCGCCGCUCUCAGGUCCUGCCGGAGAACCGGACAGAGGGCGGCUACGUGGCUUCCAGCGGACAUUCGCCGUCGGUGUUACCGCUAACACCUGCCUCUCCCCGCCAGCGCCACCGCGUCUCCCACCGAGGGGCAGAGGGACGUUUCCUGGCUCUGCUUCCCCCAAGCAUCAGGUGGCUGGAGGUUCCCUAUUUACGUGGUGCUCCUGACCGGCAGGUGUGCUCUGGGAUUGGUGCCCCAUAGGUGGCCUUGCAGGUGCCUGGCGUCCCCUCCCCCUGCCCCCACCGCCCCCCUGGGCUCCCCCAAGGGCUCGCUGCCCUCUGCCCGCCCUCUGCCAGCCCCACACGCGCACCUGAUGGGCUCCUGGUCUUCCUUGUCUUCCUUGCUCUGUGCCACCCUGAUGCCACUUUUCUUUGCUCUCGGGCAACCUGAAAGACUAAAGAAGGGACACAGCCUCAGGACGCGUCCACCGUGGCGUGGGCAGGUCCCUCCCCGCUGUCGCUGCUCAGAUUCUGUUUCUCCAGAAGCUGGAGCUGCUCCCCGUGAACACAAAAUUAUUCCGGGAGGAGGGACCUUCCGGGGACGGCCCCGCGUGUGCUCUCCAAGUCUUUAGACCCCGUCAGUCCCCUGGCGAGGGGGAGCGCUGGGUGGCUGGGAACACCAGAGAGAGGCUGGGUGGCGGGCCCAGAAAAGGGGUAACGCUGAGCAGAAAACACACGCUCCCUCCGUCUCUUCCUCGGCGACCUGUUGUCUGCAGCCCGCUGCCCGGGCCCUGCCAUCUGGGGACAAUGACACCCGGUGGUCUGAUUCCUCUCAAGUGCAGACUUACUGUGAGUCUGCAGAAGGCGCAGAGGAAGUUGAACAUGAUUAUUUUAUUCAGUCGUCAAAAUUUCGGAAAUAGAAGCUCACGCUUAUCUAAAGGAAGACUUCCGGCUGGAACAGAAAACUACUCCUACAUGUCUGAUCAUGCACGUGGGCCAACAUGUAUGAACUGCACAUGUGCUAACUUGCAUGAGGGUGUACACGGGCUAACAAUAGGCUGUGAUAUGAGAUUGUGCACGAGAACGUACAGAAUAAAUGCGAUUCUUGUGCAAAGACUGAAAAACCAGGAACUAGGCCAUUUACGGAGACGCGGGGACACACGGGUGCAGACUCGUCCGGUGCCAACGUGCGGCCGUGGCCCAGGUGGGUACCCGUCACCCCUCCUCCGUUCCUGAGCUUGUGCCGUGCUUCCCGGUCAGUCCUGGCUGACCACGCUGAGUCUCAGGGUCCCCUCACCCAUCGCUGCGCUCUGCCCCCCCCCCCCCCAGCAUCUUCCCUCCUUUCCUCUCGGGUAAGAAGCAGCACCCCACAGGCAGAGGGCGGGUGCUGGGGUUGGGGCUUCGGGCCCCGGCGCUGCCCCCUCCUGUCUCCGUCGACAGGUGUCCCAACCCCUCUGGAACGUGGCCCGUCUGCUACGUCACCGUCUCCUUUAAUAGGAAUGUGGGAAAGACGAGAUGUGCCCGGAUCCUCUCCUUCCUGCUGCCUCUGGUCCUCCGUUUCAAGGUAAAAACUUGGAAAGUGGGUGUGCCGCUCCGUGGCUGUCCCCACUGCCGUCCAGCUCUGAUCUCUUGCCAGGAAGAGCGCUCUUUCCGGUCACCAUGAUCCGGAGCCGGAGGGCGCCCCUGGCCUCUUGCAGGCGAUGCUCCUCCGAGCCUGUCGGCAGCCUCGGCGUCUGGAGGGCCUGUGUCCCGGGAGGUCGGUGUCGUGUGCUGCCCUCGCUUGAGGCCUGAGCUCACACGUCCCUCGUGCUCCUGAGCCCCCGCCAGGCCCUCUCCCCGCACGUCCUUCCCUUCCGGCAGAGCUCUCCUGAGCCCUCUGCCAUCCACGACAAAACUCAAGCCGUGCGUCCUACGACUCCUGGUCACGUCUCUUUGGGCGACGCCCUUCAUUCCCUCUGAAGGUUAAACUCCUCGCCCUCAGUUCCCUCCACGUCUCGUGCGCUCCUCUCCGUGGAUGGCAUCGGCGUCUGCUCCCCGGCCCGAGACGGAACUGAGCUCAUCCUUGGCCUUACUUGCCCGGGGUCCUGCUGGUUUUACGUCCCCCGUACCUUCGGAACCAUCCCCCUUCUGCCUCCGCGACGCCGUGUCGGGACGGGCUGGCGUCAGCUCCGAGCUGUGUUAAGCCGCUCCACUUAGGACCUUCCGGUGGCCCACCACCAAACGCCUCGCCGUGGGCACCGUGGGCCGGCCCCGCCCCCAGUGUCUGCCGGCUCUCCCGCCUGGCGCACGCCUGCGCCCUCGCACGCU